UUAAGCGACUAAGCGUACACGGUGGAUGCCCUGGCAGUCAGAGGCGAUGAAGGACGUGCUAAUCUGCGAUAAGCGUCGGUAAGGUGAUAUGAACCGUUAUAACCGGCGAUUUCCGAAUGGGGAAACCCAGUGUGUUUCGACACACUAUCAUUAACUGAAUCCAUAGGUUAAUGAGGCGAACCGGGGGAACUGAAACAUCUAAGUACCCCGAGGAAAAGAAAUCAACCGAGAUUCCCCCAGUAGCGGCGAGCGAACGGGGAGCAGCCCAGAGCCUGAAUCAGUGUGUGUGUUAGUGGAAGCGUCUGGAAAGGCGCGCGAUACAGGGUGACAGCCCCGUACACAAAAAUGCACAUGCUGUGAGCUCGAUGAGUAGGGCGGGACACGUGGUAUCCUGUCUGGAUAUGGGGGGACCAUCCUCCAAGGCUAAAUACUCCUGACUGACCGAUAGUGAACCAGUACCGUGAGGGAAAGGCGAAAAGAACCCCGGCGAGGGGAGUGAAAAAGAACCUGAAACCGUGUACGUACAAGCAGUGGGAGCCUCUUUUAUGGGGUGACUGCGUACCUUUUGUAUAAUGGGUCAGCGACUUAUAUUCUGUAGCAAGGUUAACCGAAUAGGGGAGCCGAAGGGAAACCGAGUCUUAACUGGGCGUUAAGUUGCAGGGUAUAGACCCGAAACCCGGUGAUCUAGCCAUAGGCAGGUUGAAGGCUGGGUAACACUAACUGGAGGACCGAACCGACUAAUGUUGAAAAAUUAGCGGAUGACUUGUGGCUGGGGGUGAAAGGCCAAUCAAACCGGGAGAUAGCUGGUUCUCCCCGAAAGCUAUUUAGGUAGCGCCUCGUGAAUUCAUCUCCGGGGGUAGAGCACUGUUUCGGCAAGGGGGUCAUCCCGACUUACCAACCCGAUGCAAACUGCGAAUACCGGAGAAUGUUAUCACGGGAGACACACGGCGGGUGCUAACGUCCGUCGUGAAGAGGGAAACAACCCAGACCGCCAGCUAAGGUCCCAAAGUCAUGGUUAAGUGGGAAACGAUGUGGGAAGGCCCAGACAGCCAGGAUGUUGGCUUAGAAGCAGCCAUCAUUUAAAGAAAGCGUAAUAGCUCACUGGUCGAGUCGGCCUGCGCGGAAGAUGUAACGGGGCUAAACCAUGCACCGAAGCUGCGGCAGCGACGCUUAUGCGUUGUUGGGUAGGGGAGCGUUCUGUAAGCCUGUGAAGGUGUGCUGUGAGGCAUGCUGGAGGUAUCAGAAGUGCGAAUGCUGACAUAAGUAACGAUAAAGCGGGUGAAAAGCCCGCUCGCCGGAAGACCAAGGGUUCCUGUCCAACGUUAAUCGGGGCAGGGUGAGUCGACCCCUAAGGCGAGGCCGAAAGGCGUAGUCGAUGGGAAACAGGUUAAUAUUCCUGUACUUGGUGUUACUGCGAAGGGGGGACGGAGAAGGCUAUGUUGGCCGGGCGACGGUUGUCCCGGUUUAAGCGUGUAGGCUGGUUUUCCAGGCAAAUCCGGAAAAUCAAGGCUGAGGCGUGAUGACGAGGCACUACGGUGCUGAAGCAACAAAUGCCCUGCUUCCAGGAAAAGCCUCUAAGCAUCAGGUAACAUCAAAUCGUACCCCAAACCGACACAGGUGGUCAGGUAGAGAAUACCAAGGCGCUUGAGAGAACUCGGGUGAAGGAACUAGGCAAAAUGGUGCCGUAACUUCGGGAGAAGGCACGCUGAUAUGUAGGAGAAGCGACUUGCUCGUGGAGCUGAAAUCAGUCGAAGAUACCAGCUGGCUGCAACUGUUUAUUAAAAACACAGCACUGUGCAAACACGAAAGUGGACGUAUACGGUGUGACGCCUGCCCGGUGCCGGAAGGUUAAUUGAUGGGGUCAGCGCAAGCGAAGCUCUUGAUCGAAGCCCCGGUAAACGGCGGCCGUAACUAUAACGGUCCUAAGGUAGCGAAAUUCCUUGUCGGGUAAGUUCCGACCUGCACGAAUGGCGUAAUGAUGGCCAGGCUGUCUCCACCCGAGACUCAGUGAAAUUGAACUCGCUGUGAAGAUGCAGUGUACCCGCGGCAAGACGGAAAGACCCCGUGAACCUUUACUAUAGCUUGACACUGAACAUUGAGCCUUGAUGUGUAGGAUAGGUGGGAGGCUUUGAAGUGUGGACGCCAGUCUGCAUGGAGCCGACCUUGAAAUACCACCCUUUAAUGUUUGAUGUUCUAACGUUGACCCGUAAUCCGGGUUGCGGACAGUGUCUGGUGGGUAGUUUGACUGGGGCGGUCUCCUCCUAAAGAGUAACGGAGGAGCACGAAGGUUGGCUAAUCCUGGUCGGACAUCAGGAGGUUAGUGCAAUGGCAUAAGCCAGCUUGACUGCGAGCGUGACGGCGCGAGCAGGUGCGAAAGCAGGUCAUAGUGAUCCGGUGGUUCUGAAUGGAAGGGCCAUCGCUCAACGGAUAAAAGGUACUCCGGGGAUAACAGGCUGAUACCGCCCAAGAGUUCAUAUCGACGGCGGUGUUUGGCACCUCGAUGUCGGCUCAUCACAUCCUGGGGCUGAAGUAGGUCCCAAGGGUAUGGCUGUUCGCCAUUUAAAGUGGUACGCGAGCUGGGUUUAGAACGUCGUGAGACAGUUCGGUCCCUAUCUGCCGUGGGCGCUGGAGAACUGAGGGGGGCUGCUCCUAGUACGAGAGGACCGGAGUGGACGCAUCACUGGUGUUCGGGUUGUCAUGCCAAUGGCACUGCCCGGUAGCUAAAUGCGGAAGAGAUAAGUGCUGAAAGCAUCUAAGCACGAAACUUGCCCCGAGAUGAGUUCUCCCUGACUCCUUGAGAGUCCUGAAGGAACGUUGAAGACGACGACGUUGAUAGGCCGGGUGUGUAAGCGCAGCGAUGCGUUGAGCUAACCGGUACUAAUGAACCGUGAGGCUUAACCUU
rnacentral:rRNA from 1 species